GACGAACGCUGGCGGCGUGCUUAACACAUGCAAGUCGAGCGGAGCGGCGAACGGGUGAGUAACGCGUGAGUAACGUCCCCCCUCUCUGGGAUAAAAGUUGGAAACGGCUGCUAAUACCGGAUAGUGGGGGAUGACUCGCGUACUAUCAGCUUGUUGGUGGGGUAGUGGCCUACCAAGGCGACGACGGGUAGCCGGCCUGAGAGGGCGACCGGCCACAUUGGUCUGAGAUACGGCCCAACUUCCUAUGGGAGGCAUCAGUGGGGAAUAUGGCACAAUGGGGGAAACCCUGAUGUAGAAACGCCGCGUGCGGGAUGACGGCCUUCGGGUUGUAACCCGCUUUCAGCCAUGACGCGGUAGUGGCAGAAGAAGCACCGUCUAACUACGUGCCAGCAGCCGCGGUAAUAC
rnacentral:rRNA from 1 species